AAUUUUUCUUCACUGCAGUGUUUUGUGUGAAUCCUUUUAGCCUUCACCUCUGUCCAGUCAAUAAAGAUGAGCAAUUAUAGAGCUGUUCACAAUGCCAAAUCUCUCUCCUCCCCAACUCAUGUGGGAAGACUUUUUUUCUGCAUAUAUGCUAUGCAUUUUUCCUGAAUGGCUGUACCAUUUUUGCCCUUCAUGUAGUCCACAGAUGGACAAUUUCUUGACAGAUGAAUCUGAUGUGUCUGAAGGUUGGCUUAUGCUAAAGUUAGGCUUGAUGUCUGGGCUGGGGGAGAGGGGAGAAGAUGCUAUUGUAGAAAAAAAGGAGUCAUUGGAGUAGAAUGGAAAAUGUACAUUUGAAUCCUUGUGUUACAAAAGUCACUCUAAACAAGUCUCAGUCUAGAGCCCUCGACUCUGGGCUCUUACCUCACAACUCUCUCUACUCUAUCACAGAGCUGGCUUUUUCUCUGCCUGAUUUUACCAGAUGUCAAGGCAGCACCUAAUAGCGAGGCUUAAUGUUACAUCUUACACCACAAUGACAAGAACUGCUUUUCCUGCCUCCAUUUUCUACAGCUCUUUCCUCCUACAUUUUUUUUUAAACACUCUGGCCUUUGCUGACUUUUCUUUGUGCAGCUGUCUAAUAGUAUAGAGUUUAAACAGGUGGUAAUUUGGAAUAUGUGAAAGUGAUUGGUUCUCUCUGAAACCUCAAGGAACAGCAUCUUUCACUCAAUGAGAAGGUUAAAACAAAAGAAAAAAAAAAAAAGAAAGAAGUCCCUUUGUCCUGAUCAGAUCUUGGCAGUCGCCUGGACAAAUCUGUAAGGAUAGAUUACCAGGAUUGUCUCUACAGAGGAGUUCCCCUUUUGCUUGCUUCUAAACCAGGUGUCGUCCAUCAACCAGUCCUCUGGAGCCCAGGAACUCUGGGGCCUGUAAU
rnacentral:lncRNA from 1 species